ACAGCAGUCGCCACGGUAAUACGUAGGGUGCGAGCGUUAAUCGGAAUUACUGGGCGUAAAGCGUGCGCAGGCGGUUAUAUAAGACAGAUGUGAAAUCCCCGGGCUCAACCUGGGACCUGCAUUUGUGACUGUAUAGCUAGAGUACGGUAGAGGGGGAUGGAAUUCCGCGUGUAGCAGUGAAAUGCGUAGAUAUGCGGAGGAACACCGAUGGCGAAGGCAAUCCCCUGGACCUGUACUGACGCUCAUGCACGAAAGCGUGGGGAGCAAACAGGAUUAGAUACCCGGGUAGUCCCUGUCUCUUAUAC
rnacentral:rRNA from 1 species